UUGAUUACGUCCCUGCCCUUUGUACACACCGCCCGUCGCUGCCCGGGACUGAGCCAUUUCGAGAAAAUCGGGGAUUGCUGAUUUCUGUUCUUUCGGGAACAGACUUUGGCGAAAACCGAUUUAAUCGCAGUGGCUUGAACCGGGCAAAAGUCGUAACAAGGUAGCUGUAGGUGAACCUGCAGCUGGAUCACUAACGAUUCGAUGUUUCAAUGCCUUUAUAAUAAGCAAAAUGCGAGAUACUUGCUUAGCGAGUUCCGUCUGGCCACGCUCCAUGCGAGAGGAGAAGGUCGGACCGCUAAAACGAAACGGCCAUGCAGGUUUCUGUCGCACACGUUGAGCAGUUGUGACUGUCCGUGACUGCUAUGAUACAGUGCGAGUGCGCUUCGAGCGAAAAAUUAAAGAGCACACGCUAGGUGCCGCCUGCCGAUUACCCUAUUUUUCAUCAUUUUCAUUUAAAGAGUAUCAGUCUUAUCGGUGGAUCACUCGGCUCGU
rnacentral:rRNA from 1 species